AUGGUGGUGGAUGAGACCGGUGCUGCUUUUGUGAUGAGCAAAACAAAAACUUGGUGGUCGCCGGCCGUGGCCUCCUGCGCGUGCGCAGCCGUAGUCUUGGCUAGUGGCCUCGGCUACAACUUGCAAAGGGAGCCCGUCCCUCUUCCUCCUCUGGUUCUCCCCCCUUGCUCUGAGCACAUGGACAUCGAGCCAUGGCUAUUUUACACCAGGUUUAAUGUCCAUGUCUGGUUAUGGUUUGGACUGGUGGUACAGUCAUGGCAUAAUGACUCCAGGUUAUGCUUGGAUGGAUUUAAUCUUUCUAAAAUAUGA
rnacentral:rRNA from 1 species